AAGCGCUUGCAGCCAGACUUGCCUGUAGUUGCUCAUCCGGGCUUUUGCCCGGUGCACUCUGCUGCGUUCAGGCCAGCAUCGGUUUCGGUGGUUGGAUAAAGGCCUUGGGAAUGUGGCUUCCUUCGGGGAGUGUUAUAGCCCUCGGUGCAAUGCAGCCUACCGGGACCGAGGACCGCGCUUCGGCUAGGAUGCUGGCGUAAUGGUUGUAAGCGA
rnacentral:rRNA from 1 species